rnacentral:rRNA from 1 species
AUACGUAGGUGGCAAGGCGUUGUCCGGAAUUACUGGGCGUAAAGAGUGCGUAGGCGGAUAUUUAAGUGAGAUGUGAAAUACCCGGGCUUAACCCGGGCACUGCAUUUCAAACUGGGUAUCUAGAGUGCGGGAGAGGAGAAUGGAAUUCCUAGUGUAGCGGUGAAAUGCGUAGAGAUUAGGAAGAACACCAGUGGCGAAGGCGAUUCUCUGGACCGUAACUGACGCUGAGGCACGAAAGCGUGGGUAGC